UAGCAGAUUCUACGUGAGUUGACGAGUCGGGAGGGACGGGAAGACACGCGAGCAGCAUUCGGAAAUAAACUCUACCUGGAAGCAUCGAGAUCGCUAGGCUGUAACGAUUCCAAUAAUCGGGACGGGACAGCGAGUAAAGUCGCCUUCGCGUAAAUCGCGUCAGUGACUUUCCGAGAAGCGGAUCUUCUCGAACGUGCUUCUAAACGUCUCGCGUUUAAACGCGGAAACGCUCGGCCGCGCGCGGACCGACGGGAGCCGGUUUACUCCGCUGUACCGCGUUUUAAUUAAGGGGGGAUUCUCAUGUAACGAGUCAAAAAAUUUUUUUGCUUAAAUCAACCCUAAUACAUGUGGAAAAUAUGUUCCUAAAGUUACAAAUCGAUAUUCGACCUCUACGUAUAGUUAUAGUCGAGUUUUCGACCGCGCGUUGAGUAGGUAGCUGGGAGCGCUCGGAGCGGAGACACGCGUCUCGUCUGUCCUCACUCAUACACUCGUACAUAACAAACAGCUUCGCAGGUAUACGUCUAAUGGUUUUCUUUUGCUGUGAUAUACCUUCGCGUACUUGUAUAGCUGAGGCAGGAAAUUUGUACGAGAGCUUCAAUUCGUGUGUUUGGCGUUUGGCUCCGAAAUAUUUAUAUUGCGGCAUCCGAACAGUGGAAAUAGCCGCAUAUAUUGCUGCAGGAUUAUUCAACGAAGGCUAUUUCGCCGUUUUAAAAAUUAUGGACACAUUAGAACUAAAGAUCGGUACCCAUUGUAAGGAGUAUGCAGACUCGUGUGACGCCGCGCGAAUACGGCGACAGGAGUGACGAAGCCUCAGUAGCUCGAAAGAAGCUCGAACUGCUCGCAAAGAACUGAAUUUACAACAGCAGCAAUUAUACGAGGAUGCAGAAGGCCUACUAUAUGGCCCUGGAAUCGCCGAUUAGGACUACCAUUACAGCGGAUGCUAGACUGCACACCGUUUGACGCCUGCGACGCCGAAGCCGCUGAAGGCGGCGUCCAUACCUAUAUCUAUAUAUAUGUUUUUUUUAACCAAAAAAAUAUUUUUAUAUUCUCUUUACAUGUAUUGAUGUACUAUUAAAGUUUGAGAUCCUUUGACUAAAUACGUUCUUGAA